AUUGAACGCUGGCGGCAGGCCUAACACAUGCAAGUCGAGCGAGCGGCGGACGGGUGAGUAAUGUCUGGGAAACAGCCUGAUGGAGGGGGAUAACUACUGGAAACGGUAGCUAAUACCGCAUACAAUCAGAUGUGCCCAGAUGGGAAUAGCUAGUAGGUGGGGUAACGGCUCACCUAGGCGACGAGCCCUAGCUGGUCUGAGAGGAUGACCAGCAAUGUGGGAACGGAGAAAGGGGCCAGUCUCCUACGGGAGGAACAAGUGGGGAAUAUUGCAAAAUGGGCGCAAGCGUGAUGCAGACAGGCCGCGUGUAUGAAGAAGGACUUGGGGUUUUAAAGUACGUUCAGCGGGGAGGCGUUACCCGCAGAAGAAGCACCGGCUAACUCCGUGCCAGCAGCCGCGGUAAUAC
rnacentral:rRNA from 1 species